AGUGAACGCUGGCGGUAGGCCUAACACAUGCAAGUCGAACGGCAGCACAGUAAGAGCUUGCUCUUACGGGUGGCGAGUGGCGGACGGGUGAGGAAUACAUCGGAAUCUACUUUUUCGUGGGGGAUAACGUAGGGAAACUUACGCUAAUACCGCAUACGACCUACGGGUGAAAGCAGGGGAUCUUCGGACCUUGCGCGAUUGAAUGAGCCGAUGUCGGAUUAGCUAGUUGGCGGGGUAAAGGCCCACCAAGGCGACGAUCCGUAGCUGGUCUGAGAGGAUGAUCAGCCACACUGGAACUGAGACACGGUCCAGACUCCUACGGGAGGCAGCAGUGGGGAAUAUUGGACAAGGGGCGCAGGCCUGAUCCAGCCAUCCCGGGUGGGUGAAGAAGGCCUUCGGGUUGUAAGGCCCUUUUGUGGGAAAAAAAAAGCAGCAGGUUAAUCCCCCGCUGUUCUGACGGUACCCAAAAAAAAAGCACCGGCUAACUUCGUG
rnacentral:rRNA from 1 species